UCGAACCCUGCAAAGCAGAACGACCCGCGAACACGUAAAACAACAGAGCAUCGAGUGAAUUAAGGUUUGUUUGAUACACUCGAUGCUUCGUCGAUGUGCAUUUACUUUUGUUCUUUUUGACAUGGUGAAUGUUNCAUAGGCGGCAAUAACCAACCCCGGCACAAUGCGUGCCAAGGAAAACUAGACAUAAGAAGGCUUGUUUUGUGUUCGCCCCGCUCGCGGUGUGCUCAUGAGACGUGGCUUCUUUAUAAAUCGCGUCGCCCCCAACAAAUUACUGUUGGGGGCGGAUAUUGGUCUCCCGUGCUCAUGGUGUGGUUGGCCAAAAUAGGAGUCCCUUCGAUGGACGCACGAACUAGUGGUGGAUCUAAAAACCCUCGUUCUUUGUUUCGUGUUAGUUAGUCGCAAGAAUAAACUCUCUGAAUACCCCCAAUGUGUUGUCUUCUGAUGACGCUUCGACCG
rnacentral:rRNA from 1 species